AGUCAGUCUCCUCCAUUGAUAGUGGAGAGAGCUCAGAACCAUGGUUCCCCGCCAAGAACAGAACAUCUACAGAUAUGGCAGGAAGCUCGGCUUUGCAUCCAGAAGCUGGGGGUCCUUGGGGUUUGACUCAGUCCUCACUCGAUGCACGACAGCCGCAAGGUGGUGCCUCGGGGUUGGGUGGGAGGAGCUACGCAGAGUCUUCAUCUUCUUCAUCUACAUCUUCUUCCGAGAGUCUGGAUUCCCCAGCACCUGGAAGAGCGCAUUCAAGUGAGUUCUUAGUCCACGGAAGCAGAGCCCAGGGCCUGAGGAUGUGUCUGAUCCCUCAAUCUACCAAAGCAUACCUUAGGAGAGGGAUUUUACUAUUCCCAGGCCUCUCUUAGCUGGUUAAUACAAACGUGCGUACAUGCUCCAC
rnacentral:lncRNA from 1 species